rnacentral:rRNA from 1 species
UUGAACGCUGGCGGCAGGCCUAACACAUGCAAGUCGAACGGUAACAGGAAACAGCUUGCUGUUUCGCUGACGAGUGGCGGACGGGUGAGUAAUGUCUGGGAAACUGCCUGAUGGAGGGGGAUAACUACUGGAAACGGUAGCUAAUACCGCAUAAUGUCGCAAGACCAAAGAGGGGGACCUUCGGGCCUCUUGCCAUCGGAUGUGCCCAGAUGGGAUUAGCUAGUAGGUGGGGUAACGGCUCACCUAGGCGACGAUCCCUAGCUGGUCUGAGAGGAUGACCAGCCACACUGGAACUGAGACACGGUCCAGACUCCUACGGGAGGCAGCAGUGGGGAAUAUUGCACAAUGGGCGCAAGCCUGAUGCAGCCAUGCCGCGUGUAUGAAGAAGGCCUUCGGGUUGUAAAGUACUUUCAGCGGGGAGGAAGGGAGUAAAGUUAAUACCUUUGCUCAUUGACGUUACCCGCAGAAGAAGCACCGGCUAACUCCGUGCCAGCAGCCGCGGUAAUACGGAGGGUGCAAGCGUUAAUCGGAAUUACUGGGCGUAAAGCGCACGCAGGCGGUUUGUUAAGUCAGAUGUGAAAUCCCCGGGCUCAACCUGGGAACUGCAUCUGAUACUGGCAAGCUUGAGUCUCGUAGAGGGGGGUAGAAUUCCAGGUGUAGCGGUGAAAUGCGUAGAGAUCUGGAGGAAUACCGGUGGCGAAGGCGGCCCCCUGGACGAAGACUGACGCUCAGGUGCGAAAGCGUGGGGAGCAAACAGGAUUAGUGACCCUGGUAGUCCACGCCGUAAACGAUGUCGACUUGGAGGUUGUGCCCUUGAGGCGUGGCUUCCGGAGCUAACGCGUUAAGUCGACCGCCUGGGGAGUACGGCCGCAAGGUUAAAACUCAAAUGAAUUGACGGGGGCCCGCACAAGCGGUGGAGCAUGUGGUUUAAUUCGAUGCAACGCGAAGAACCUUACCUACUCUUGACAUCCAGAGAACUUAGCAGAGAUGCUUUGGUGCCUUCGGGAACUCUGAGACAGGUGCUGCAUGGCUGUCGUCAGCUCGUGUUGUGAAAUGUUGGGUUAAGUCCCGCAACGAGCGCAACCCUUAUCCUUUGUUGCCAGCGGUCCGGCCGGGAACUCAAAGGAGACUGCCAGUGAUAAACUGGAGGAAGGUGGGGAUGACGUCAAGUCAUCAUGGCCCUUACGACCAGGGCUACACACGUGCUACAAUGGCGCAUACAAAGAGAAGCGACCUCGCGAGAGCAAGCGGACCUCAUAAAGUGCGUCGUAGUCCGGAUUGGAGUCUGCAACUCGACUCCAUGAAGUCGGAAUCGCUAGUAAUCGUGGAUCAGAAUGCCACGGUGAAUACGUUCCCGGGCCUUGUACACACCGCCCGUCACACCAUGGGAGUGGGUUGCAAAAGAAGUAGGUAGCUUAACCUUCGGGAGGGCGCUUACCACUUUGUGAUUCAUGACUGGGGUG